UACGUAGGGUGCGAGCGUUGUCCGGAAUUACUGGGCGUAAAGAGCUCGUAGGUGGUUUGUCGCGUUGUUCGUGAAAACUCACAGCUCAACUGUGGGCGUGCGGGCGAUACGGGCAGACUGGAGUACUGCAGGGGAGACUGGAAUUCCUGGUGUAGCGGUGGAAUGCGCAGAUAUCAGGAGGAACACCGGUGGCGAAGGCGCCACUCUGGGCCGGUACUGACGCUGAGGAGCGAAAGCGUGGGUAGCAAACAGG
rnacentral:rRNA from 1 species